AACCAACAAAAAACCAAAAAUGGGCGCUGAAAAAGUAACAAUGAACAUCGUCGUCGUCGGACAAGUCCAAUCUGCCAAGGCCAUCAAAUCGGUCGUCAAAGCCUCCCCAGCCUCCAGCCAAUUGAUGAACUGUUAAUUCAUGUCCACAUCAAUCUCAAACUCAAAGAUGCCAUAGCCCAAACAGUACAUAAUUUUAUAAUUUAUUUUUAAUUAUAAUAAUGUGUAUUGACAUUGCAAAAUAAAUCAGUCUCUUCCGUCAGUAAAA